CCUACGAGAGGCUGCAGUGAGGAAUAUUGGUCAAUGGGCGGAAGCCUGAACCAGCCAAGUAGCGUGCGGGAUGAAGGCCCUACGGGUCGUAAACCGCUUUUGCACGGGGAUAACACCCUCCACUUGUGGAGGUCCGCAUGUACCGUGCGAAUAAGGGCAGGCUAAUUCCGUGCCAGUAGCCGCGGUAAUACGGAGGAUGCGAGCGUUAUCCGGAUUUAUUGGGUUUAAAGGGUGGGCAGGCGGAUUUUUAAGUCAGCGGUCAAAUCGUGGGGCUCAACCCCACCCAGCCGUUGAAACUGGGGAUCUAGAGUGUGCGAGAGGUAGGCGGAAUGCGUGGUGUAGCGGUGAAAUGCAUAGAUAUCACGCAGAACCCCGAUUGCGAAGGCAGCAUACCGGUGCACAACUGACGCUCAGGCACGAAAGCGUGGGUAUCGAACAGGAUUAGAUACCCCAGUAGUC
rnacentral:rRNA from 1 species